rnacentral:rRNA from 1 species
AGUGAACGCUGGCGGUAGGCCUAACACAUGCAAGUCGAACGGCAGCACAGUAAGAGCUUGCUCUUACGGGUGGCGAGUGGCGGACGGGUGAGGAAUACAUCGGAAUCUACUUUUUCGUGGGGGAUAACGUAGGGAAACUUACGCUAAUACCGCAUACGACCUACGGGUGAAAGCAGGGGAUCUUCGGACCUUGCGCGAUUGAAUGAGCCGAUGUCGGAUUAGCUAGUUGGCGGGGUAAAGGCCCACCAAGGCGACGAUCCGUAGCUGGUCUGAGAGGAUGAUCAGCCACACUGGCACUGAGACACGGUCCAGACUCCUACGGGAGGCAGCAGUGGGGAAUAUUGGACAAUGGGCGCAAGCCUGAUCCAGCCAUACCGCGUGGGUGAAGAAGGCCUUCGGGUUGUAAAGCCCUUUUGUUGGGAAAGGAAAGCAGCAGGUUAAUACCCCGCUGUUCUGACGGUACCCAAAGAAUAAGCACCGGCUAACUUCGUG